GACGAACGCUGGCGGCGUGCUUAACACAUGCAAGUCGAACGGAAAGGCCCUGCUUUUGUGGGGUGCUCGAGUGGCGAACGGGUGAGUAACACGCGAGUAACCUGCCCUUGACUUUGGGAUAACUUCAGGAAACUGGGGCUAAUACCGGAUAGGAGCUCUUGCUGCAUGGUGGGGGUUGGAAAGUUUCGGCGGUUGGGGAUGGACUCGCGGCUUAUCAGCUUGUUGGUGGGGUAGUGGCUUACCAAGGCUUUGACGGGUAGCCGGCCUGAGAGGGUGACCGGCCACAUUGGGACUGAGAUACGGCCCAGAAUCCUACGGGAGGCAGCAGUGGGGAAUAUUGCACAAUGGGCGGAAGCCUGAUGCAGCAACGCCGCGUGCGGGAUGACGGCCUUCGGGUUGUAAACCGCUUUCGCCUGUGACGAAGCGUGAGUGACGGUAAUGGGUAAAGAAGCACCGGCUAACUACGUG
rnacentral:rRNA from 1 species